rnacentral:lncRNA from 1 species
ACGGGCAGCAAAUCUUAAAAAGAUCAUUAUACUCUCUGUAUCUUAUGGUUCAUUUUUAAAGCCCAAGUGUUUCUUGCAACUUAGGCCCAAACAUGGAUGAUGGGGAUGAUAUUUGCAUCCAUGCAUUGUAUAUUUUUCACCCAUGUGUCUUACAAGGUAGUUAGCACAUAAUGUUUUCAUCAUAAGUUUCAUUAAGCGUUAGAAUGCUCUUCAAUUCUAAAACACCACCUCAAAAAAGGUCAAACCUAUCUGGUGAAGGGGCAGUAAGAUAGAAGGUGAUUGAUAGUUUCCUCUGAGUCUUGACAGAAGGGGCAUCGCCCACUAAUUGACCAGCCUUUGUUC